rnacentral:rRNA from 1 species
UACGUAGGGUGCAAGCGUUAAUCGGAAUUACUGGGCGUAAAGCGUGCGCAGGCGGUUUUGUAAGACUGUCGUGAAAUCCCCGGGCUUAACCUGGGAAUGGCGAUGGUGACUGCAAGGCUAGAGUUUGGCAGAGGGGGGUAGAAUUCCACGUGUAGCAGUGAAAUGCGUAGAGAUGUGGAGGAACACCGAUAGCGAAGGCAGCCCCCUGGGUCAAAACUGACGCUCAUGCACGAAAGCGUGGGGAGCAAACAGG